AGUGAACGCUGGCGGUAGGCCUAACACAUGCAAGUCGAACGGCAGCACAGUAAGAGCUUGCUCUUACGGGUGGCGAGUGGCGGACGGGUGAGGAAUACAUCGGAAUCUACUUUUUCGUGGGGGGUAACGUAGGGAAACUUACGCUAAUACCGCAUACGACCUACGGGUGAAAGCAGGGGAUCUUCGGACCUUGCGCGAGUGAAUGAGCCGAUGUCGGAUUAGCUAGUUGGCGGGGUAAAGGCCCACCAAGGCGACGAUCCGUAGCUGGUCUGAGAGGAUGAUCAGCCACACUGGAACUGAGACACGGUCCAGACUCCUACGGGAGGCAGCAGUGGGGAAUAUUGGACAAUGGGCGCAAGCCUGAUCCAGCCAUACCGCGUGGGUGAAGAAGGCCUUCGGGUUGUAAAGCCCUUUUGUUGGGAAAGAAAAGCAGCAGGUUAAUACCCCGCUGUUCUGACGGUACCCAAAGAAUAAGCACCGGCUAACUUCGUG
rnacentral:rRNA from 1 species